GAAAAGUUAGUUUAAAAAAAACAUUAAUUUGUCAAAUUAAAAUUAUUAUUAUAUAAUACUUUUUU
rnacentral:tRNA from 1 species